rnacentral:rRNA from 1 species
UGGGGAAUCUUGCGCAAUGGGCGAAAGCCUGACGCAGCAACGCCGCGUGAGCGAAGAAGGCCUUCGGGUUGUAAAGCUCUGUCAGGGGGAAAGAAGGCACCUGGGUUAAUAGCCCAAGGGCUGACGGUACCUCCAAAGGAAGCCACGGCUAACUACGUGCCAGCAGCCGCGGUAAUACGUAGGUGGCAAGCGUUGUCCGGAAUCAUUGGGCGUAAAGAGCGCGUAGGUGGCUUGUCAGGUCUGAUGUGAAAACCUGGGGCUCAACUCCAGGCAUGCAUCAGAAACCGGCUUGCUAGAGUCUGGGAGAGGAGAGUGGAAUUCCUGGUGUAGCGGUGAAAUGCGUAGAUAUCAGGAGGAACACCGGUAGCGAAGGCGGCUCUCUGGAACAGUACUGACGCUGAGGCGCGAAAGCUAGGGGAGCGAACAG